ensembl:lncRNA
UCCUGCCAUUCCUUUUUUUUUUCUUGGUAUCUCAUUUUAUUUUUUUUACCUUUGGGGUUGAAAAGCUGGUAAAUAAGAUUACAGCACAGACAUGCAGAAAAUAAAAUGUAGUGGAAAUGUGUAAACAAGAUUACUAGGACAAAACAGUGCCUCUCAGCACAUUAACUGCACUGUGGGGAAGGACAGUUGGGGCAGGCCUCAAGGCAUUUUUGCCUGGGUACAGCAGAUGCAGGCAGAAAAUACUAAUGCAGAUCUGCUCUCAUCUCUGUUCAAUGAGCAUAGAUGAACUGAGGAUGGGCAAGAAGCAUAAUGAGCUUGAUGUUUUUUUUUGUUUUGUUUUGUUUUUUUUUAAUUCUUUCUCCCCCACACCCACACACUUAAACCAUCUUGGAAUUCCACAAUUCUGAAAGGAUCUCAGCUGUCAUUUCUCUGUCUCUCAUGCCUGCACGCACACACUUUCUAACCCUGUAGGUCAAAAAUAGGACAUUAGGAGUCCUCUUAGGAUGAGAAAUCCAGUAAUGACCAGCAAGUUUUGUUAAUGACAAGAAGAGGGUGCUUUUGGAUGGGGUGUUUGUUGUUGAUUUAAAAUGUUUGAGAUUGUUGGCAAAGCCCCUGUCUGCCCAAUAUGGUAACCUGUCCUUAGAAUGGUUUGCAGUGCAAUAAACUCUUAUAUUUGAGAGCUCUACAUGAGAAAGGGGUCAUAGGAGAAUAAAAUUAGCUCACUUUAAAAAAAAAAAAUCACGACAAACCCUCCACCUUUCUGAUUGCUGGCAGAAUCUCUGCUCCCUCCCACACAGCCCCAGCUGGAGAGCCUUUUCUUGCAGCGAGAGCUACUCUUCCUGUGCCAGUCUCUUUUCACUCACUGCUCCUCCUCUCCCUGCCUUCCUCAUAGGUAAAGCAUAAACCCUGGCUCCUGAGGGAUGCCCCAGUUAUUUAACAUGAGGGAGGAAAACUGGGGGGGGGAGGAUAUUUGUAUUUGGUGUUAGAUGAGGUCAGGAUGACCUUUCUCACUGCAGAGGUUAACAGGUCCAGUUCUGCAGUGAACAUCCUACUUCUCUUUCAGACUGAAGGUCAAGAAGCUGGGAUAGCUGACAAGCAAGUGAAUCAGGUGGAAAUGAGGUCCUCUUAUGUUUACAAUUGCAUGAGACAUCUCCCAUUUGCCAGGAAAUUGAAGUCUGAGAAAACUACAGUGAUAAUCAAGACAGAAACUGAGAGUAGAUAACAUCUGCAUUAAUUUUACCAUGGAAGAUGAUCUGGUCUGAUGUGUGUGGUCAGCUCUCUGUGGUUCACAUACAAGAUCCCUGUAAGCCUGUUUGUAGUCUUUCCUCUGUCCUUGUAGUCUCAAAGAGCCUCCAGCAAUUUGUUGGGAACCAUAAGGAAAAGAGGUCCUGCUCUGAACUUGCCGAUCUUUCUGCUGGGAGAGUGGUGUGGAAAUAUGAAGAAUAAUCUGUGAGGAGAGAAGUCUCAUAUUUCUAAUUUCUGUUCUGGGAAUAACAUCAUUCCCUUCCAGUGGUACAACUUCCCAGAUACCCUAAAUUAGCGUGCAUAAACAUCCCAUAUUUCAAAGUGUGUUUGUCCAUGUAAUAAUAUAGGGAGAAAAAAUAUAAAAGAGCUGAGACUUGUGGUAAAGUUAAGACUAACGAAUAGGAUUAAAAAUUACCAGCCCUACUGAGCUAACAGAUCUGCUGUGCUUCAGCCUAAUAUUACAGCCCUUGUGUAUUCCCAGAAAGCUUAAUGCAGGAUAAUGCAGUAUUUCAAAUCUUUUUUUGAUAUUUCAGGUACCACAGAACAUAACUCAGGGAAAUAAUUCAAUAUCCUACAUGUGGCAUUGAUCCAUUUGCAAUAGAUAACAAAGCUUAUGUUGAGCUCUUACAGGUCAGAAGAAUCUUGAUCACAAAAUAAGCAACAGAAAUGCCCUUAUCAUCCAUACAUGAGAAAAAAUGGUGUGAUUGCAUCUCAUUCUCUUAUGUAGGCUAAGAUAAGAACAGUCUGCCACCAGGACAGUGUUUUGAUACUGAACAUUGUUUAUGCAGACACUACUAUCUGCAGAAGCUCCAUCCUUCCCAAAAUCCUAGCAUGUGAAGCUUUAGUAAAUUAGGUAAGAUUUUCUGCCCUAACAAAUAAAUCCCUUCUUAAUGUCCUCCA